rnacentral:rRNA from 1 species
AGAGUUUGAUCCUGGCUCAGGAUGAACGCUAGCUACGGGCUUAACACAUGCAAGUCGAACGGAUUCUGGAUUCGUCUGGAAUUAGUGGCAAACGGGUGAGUAACACGUAUCCAACCACCCUGCGACUCGGGGAUAGCCUCUUGAAAGGGAGAUUAAUAUCCGAUGUACUGUUUUUGGUGCAUGCCAUUUUCAGUAAAGUUUUUUUACGGUCGCUGACGGGGAUGCGUUCCAUUAGAUAGUCGGUGUGGUAACGGCUCACCGAGUCUAUGAUGGAUAGGGGUUCUGAGAGGAAGGUCCCCCACAUUGGAACUGCGACACGGUCCAAACUUCUACGGGAGGCAGCAGUGAGGAAUAUUGGUCAAUGGGCGAAAGCCUGAACCAGCUAUGUAGCGUGAAGGAUGACUGCCCUAUGGGUUGUAAACUUCUUUUGUUCGGGAAUAACAGACUUCACUUGUGGAGUUUUGCAUGUACCGUUCGAAUAAGGAUCGGCUAACUCCGUGCCAGCAGCCGCGGUAAUACGGAGGAUCCUAGCGUUAUUCGGAUUUAUUGGGUUUAAAGGGAGCGUAGGCGGGGGGUCAAGUCAGCUGUGAAAUACGUACGCUUAACGUUCGUCUUGCAGUUGAAACUGGUUUUCUUGAGUGCGUAUGAGGCAGGCGGAAUUCGUGGUGUAGCGGUGAAAUGCUUAGAUAUCACGAGGAACUCCUAUUGCGAAGGCAGCUUGCUGGUCCGCUACUGACGCUGAUGCUCGAAGGUGCGGGUAUCGAACAGGAUUAGAUACCCUGGUAGUCCGCACAGUAAACUAUGGGCACUCGCUGUCGGCGAUAUACUGUCGGUGGCUAAGCGAAAGCAUUAAGUGUCCCACCUGGGGAGUACGUCGGCAACGAUGAAACUCAAAGGAAUUGACGGGGGCCCGCACAAGCGGAGGAACAUGUGGUUUAAUUCGAUGAUACGCGAGGAACCUUACCCGGGUUUGAAAUGCAUCUGACGAUAGUGGAAACAUUAUUUCUAGCAAUAGCAGAUGUGUAGGUGCUGCAUGGUUGUCGUCAGCUCGUGCCGUGAGGUGUCGGCUUAAGUCCCAUAACGAGCGCAACCCCUAUCGAUAGUUACCAGCACGUUACGGUGGGGACUCUAUCGAGACUGCCGGUGUAAACCGUGAGGAGGGUGGGGAGGACGUCAAAUCAGCACGGCCCUUACAUCCAGGGCUACACACGUGUUACAAUGGCCGGUACAAAGGGCAGCUACACAGCGAUGUGAUGCUAAUCUCCAAAUCCGGUCUCAGUUCGGAUCGAAGUCUGCAACCCGACUUCGUGAAGCUGGAUUCGCUAGUAAUCGCGCAUCAGCCAUGGCGCGGUGAAUACGUUCCCGGGCUUUGUACUCACCGCCCGUCA